rnacentral:rRNA from 1 species
CAGCGUCAGAUGUGUAUAAGAGACAGCAGCCGCGGUAAUUCCAGCUCCAAUAGCGUAUAUUAAAGUUGUUGCAGUUAAAAAGCUCGUAGUUGAAUUUCGGGAUCAAUAUUUCGGUCAUGCCGUUGGUAUGCACUGUUAUCAUUGAUUUCUCACCUUCUAAAGAACCGUAAUGCCAUUAAUUUGGUGUUACGGGGAAUUAGGACUGUUACCUUGAAAAAAUUAGAGUGUUUAAAGCAGGCUCACGCUUGAAUACAUUAGCAUGGAAUAAUGAAAUAGGACAUCCGAUUCUAUUUUGUUGGUUUCUAGGAUCGAUGUAAUGAUUAAUAGGGAUAGUUGGGGGCAUUAGUAUUCAAUUGUCAGAGGUGAAAUUCUUGGAUUUAUUGAAGACUAACUACUGCGAAAGCAUUUGCCAAGGAUGUUUUCAUUAAUCAAGAACGAAAGUUAGGGGAUCGAAGACGAUCAGAUACCGUCGUAGUCUUAACCAUAAACUAUGCCGACUAGGGAUCGGAUGAUGUUAAUUUUUUAAUGACUCAUUCGGCGCCUUACG